CCUACGGGUGGCAGCAGUGGGGAAUAUUGCACAAUGGGGGAAACCCUGAUGCAGCGACGCCGCGUGAGUGAAGAAGUAUUUCGGUAUGUAAAGCUCUAUCAGCAGGGACGAAAAAAGACGGUACCGUCCUAAGAAGCCCCGGCUAACUACGUGCCAGCAGCCGCGGUACUACGUAGGGGGCAAGCGUUAUCCGGAAUCACUGGGUGUAAGGGGAGCGUAGACGGCUGAGCAAGCCUGAAGUGAAAGGCGGGGGCACAACCCCCGGACUGCUUUGGGACCUGUCCGGCUGGAGUGCAGGAGAGGUAAGUGGAAUGCCUAGUGUAGCGGUGAAAUGCGUAGAUAUUAGGAGGAACACCAGUGGCGAAGGCGGCUUACUGGACUGUAACUGACGUUGAGGCUCGAAAGCGUGGGGAGCAAACAGGAUUAGAUACCCUGGUAGUC
rnacentral:rRNA from 1 species